GUACUUACUAUUUCAGGAAGUUUGGCUCCUGCUUUUUUCUGUGGUCUGAAUCCAUUGUAUUAAUGAAUUUCCUAUAUGUUGCUGGAGAAUCACUUCUAGCAUCUUUACUGAGGAAUCACUGUCAGUCCCUAAUACUUUGGUGAAACCCUGGCCUGAAGUCUCCUCUUUCAUCCCAAAGAUUAGAAAAGGAUUAAAGGAAAGAAGAGAAGGCAGAAUGGAUCCAGCGGCGGACCUACUGCAGGUGGAUCGCAUCGGGCUGUUUUUAAUCAUUGAAAGCUCUCAAAGGCUCGCCUUCGCUGGGGUAGACCGCGCGAACUUGGGAUCUACUCCAGCUCAGAAACCGAAGAAACGUCUCUUAUUACCCUUUCUUCAGAUUGCUCAAAUCCAGGGCAACAUCUUUUGCUGAUGGACUGAGGAGGGGGUUAAAGAAUGAUUUAGAGUGAAUUCCAGAAAGAAUAAUCUGAUCCCCCUGGAGGAGGACACAGGAUCUGGAUCAGAUGGGCUGUGGAGCCCGGGGAGGAAAUUGUGAGUACGUGCUCUUGAUUGAAUAUCAUUAUCUUCCUGUUGUCUAGGAAGAUGAUUGUUAUAAUUAGCAACAAAUGUCAUGGGUGACU